CCUACGGGAGGCAGCAGUGAGGAAUAUUGGUCAAUGGACGAGAGUCUGAACCAGCCAAGUAGCGUGAAGGAUGACUGCCCUAUGGGUUGUAAACUUCUUUUAUAUGGGAAUAAAAUGUUCCACGUGUGGGAUUUUGUAUGUACCCUAUGAAUAAGGAUCGGCUAACUCCGUGCCAGCAGCCGCGGUAAUACGGAGGAUCCGAGCGUUAUCCGGAUUUAUUGGGUUUAAAGGGAGCGUAGGUGGAUUGUUAAGUCAGUUGUGAAAGUUUGCGGCUCAACCAUAAAAUUGCAGUUGAAACUGGCAGUCUUGAGUACAGUAGAGGUAGGCGGAAUGCGUGGUGUAGCGGUGAAAUGCUUAGAUAUCACGAAGAACUCCGAUUGCGAAGGCAGCUUACUGGACUGCAACUGACACUGAGGCUCGAAAGUGUGGGUAUCAAACAGGAUUAGAUACCCCUGUAGUC
rnacentral:rRNA from 1 species